CCCUUAGAUGUUCUGGGCCGCACGCGCGCUACACUGAUGCAUUCAACGAGUUUCUUCCUGGUCCGAGAGGAAUGGGUAACCUUUUGAAAGUGCAUCGUGAUAGGGAUAGACUAUUGCAAUUAUUGGUCUUCAACGAGGAAUUCCUAGUAGACGUAGUUCAUCAGACUGCAUCGAUUACGUCCCUGCCCUUUGUACACACCGCCCGUCGCUCCUACCGAUUGAAUGCUCAGGUGAGCCAUUCGGACUUUCAUCAUGCUGGUUUCCAGUUUUGAUGAAGGAAAGUCUUGCGAACCUUAUCAUUUAGAGGAAGGAGAAGUCGUAACA
rnacentral:rRNA from 1 species